UCACAGAAGGGAUGACACUAGAGACCUCCAUGGAAAUGCUGGUUGACUCCCUCCCACCAGAUGCAAAGAGGAGAACAGCAGUGUCAGGAAGCUAAAUAGAUCCACAACCAGGAGAAGGUGUUGGUGCAUUGAUGUUCCCCAGCCACCCUCCAAGAUUCAGGUCCCCUCCAUUCCUGGUGUGUGGCAGAGCCCCAGAGCCUCAGUGAGAGAAACUAAUUGCCAACAUGUCUGAUACCGAGGAAGUGUAAGUAGAGAGAAAGUUGUCUGUGUGUUUAUCUGCUCAGCUUGGCCCCACAGAGCAGAGCCAGGGCAUCCCUGUGCUCUGUGCUCAGCCUGAAGACCAGCACAGGGCAUCCCCCAAGCACCUGCACCCUGCUCAGCCUGCCCUCUGUGGCUGUGGCGCUGCACCUGGA
rnacentral:lncRNA from 1 species